UUUUUUUUCCUUCUUGUACAAUCCUUGGA
rnacentral:piRNA from 2 species